AGGCUGCAAGAUGUGCACCGUCGCUCAUAUGAGAUUUGCUAUCCACCUGUAGUAUUAGUUAUGGUAACCAUUUCGCAAUGCUGCUGCAUUUUCACCGCGUUUGCGGGACUCUUCUCCAUUUGCUCGCUUUUGAGAUUGGAACAUGUUGUAUUGGGGAAUAAAGGUCGAUUGGUGUCUUCAGAUUACCUGAUUCUUAUAUAUGGUUGAGAGUUUAUAUGUUACAAAUAGACCCACUCAAGGUUUGGUUUGCUUUUCUGACAUCUAAACAAGCAAGUUUGACGAUCAUUCUGUCCUAGAGGCAGUAUUCCUGUUCUCAGGAUUUUCGUAGGUUUUUUCCGGUGCAGGAUUCUGUAGCAUUAGUAUGGUAACUAUUUUGCAAUGCCACGGCAUUUUUCCACGCAUACAGGAUCUCUUUUCCAUUGCUCGCUUUUGAGAUUGGAACAUGUUGUAUUGGGGAAUAAAGGUUGAUUGAUGUCUUCACAUUACCUGAUUCUUAUGUAUGGUUGAGAGUUUAUAUGUUACAGAGACCAACUCAAAGUUUGGUUGCUUUUUU
rnacentral:lncRNA from 1 species